GGCAGUGUAGCAUAGUGGUAAGGAGCAGGACUCAUAACAGAGAGGUUGCCAGUUCGAUUCUCCACUGCUG